UAACUGGUCUUCCUGUUGACAAGGCAAUCGGAAAGCAUUUGCUCUCACUGGUGGAAGAUUCUUCGACUGACACAGUGAAAAAGAUGUUGAACUCGGCAUUGCAUGGUAUGUCACUCAUUACUCUAUUUGACAUUUUAGGCAUUUUAGAUAUUCAAAUAUUACUAGAAAUAGCCAUAUGCUUGUAUGGCUGUGGACGAUGUUUUCAAUUGUAGUCUUCUGUUUGUAUUAAACUCGUCCUCUUUUUUCUCUUCUGUCAGGCAAAGAGGAACAAAACAUCCAAUUCGAGAUAAAAACACAUGGUUCUAGGGCUGACCUUGGUCCCAUCAGCUUGGUUGUGAAUGCUUGUGCAAGCAGAGACAUUCGGGAAAAUGUUGUGGGGGUGUGUUUUGUGGCACAAGAUAUCACUGGUCAGAAGAAUGUGAUGGACAGAUUCACCCGGAUUGAAGGUGAUUACAAAGCAAUUGUACAAAACCCUAACCCCUUGAUCCCCCCAAUAUUUGGUGCAGAUGAAUUUGGCUGGUGUUCUGAGUGGAAUUCAGCAAUGACGAAGUUAACAGGAUGGAAACGAGAGGAGGUAAUGGAUAAAAUGCUUCUGGGAGAGGUUUUUGGGAUCCACAUGGCAUGUUGUCCUCUCAAAAGCCAGGAAUCUUUUGUAAAUCUUGGUGUUGUCCUUAACCAUGCCAUGACAGGUCAGGUGUCCGAAAAGGUUCCCUUUGGUUUCUGUGCUCGCAAUGGAAAGUACAUAGAAUGCCUGCUGUGUGUGAGUAAGAAAUUGGACAGCGAAGGCUUGGUCACUGGGGUCUUUUGCUUCUUGCAGCUUGCUAGCCCAGAGCUGCAACAAGCACUUCACAUCCAGCGCUUAUCAGAACAAACUGCAGUGAAGAGAUUGAAAGAAUUGUCUUAUAUUAGAAGGCAGAUCCGGAAUCCUUUAGCCGGUAUAAUUUUUUCUUGGAAAAUGAUGGAGGAUACUGAGUUGGGAGAAGAACAACAACUGCUUCUGCAUACGAGCGCCCAGUGCCAGAACCAGCUCAACAAAAUACUGGAUGACUCGGAUCUUGAUACCAUCAUUGACGGGUAUGAUAAAGUCCAGUCGUUAAACACUGAUUUUUUUUCACCUCGCUGUUUAUCUUUCGUCUACAUUUUUUACCUCAUGUGAAGACAGUUCCCUCAUAAAAUUCUUGACUGCCUUCAUCUCUAUCAAGUCCUCAGCUACAAGGAAUGAGAUAAUUAGUUUAGGUUACAUAGAAUGGUAGAUUAAAUGUGAACUUGUUCUUUUCUGUAGAUGCUAUUGAUUUUGUUUAUUUUGACUGGUUGUUAUGUUUCUGUGUUUUUCUGAUCCCUCGACAGCUACUUGGACCUGGAAAUGGUUGAGUUCACAUUGCAUGACGUACUGAAUGCCGCUGUCAGUCAAGUCAUGAUGAAGAUCAAUGCCAAGAGCAUCCGUGUUGUCCAAGAUGCAGCGGAAGAGAUCAUGACUCAGACUUUAUAUGGGGAUAGUCUUAGGCUUCAACAAGUCGUAGCUGAUUUCUUAGCCGUAUCAAUUAGUUUUGUGCCAACUGGAGGCCAGCUUACUAUCGAAGCUAAUUUGACCGAAGAUCAGUUAGGACAAUCCGUUCAUCUCGUGCAUUUGGAGAUCAGGUACAGCUUGGCAAUUGAAUUCAUAACGUUGAUGUCUAAUAGAUAUUGAAUACUUACUAUGGAUUUCAUGUAUAAUUCGGUUGCUUGGAUUACAAGUUAAGCAAUUCGCACGAGAUGCUGAUUUGAUAUUUUGGAUCAGGAUCACACACGCCGGUGGUGGGAUUCCAGAAGCAUUGCUGAACCAGAUGUUUGGAAAUGACGGAGACAUAUCUGAGGAGGGCAUUAGCCUGCUCGUCAGCAGCAAACUGGUGAAGCUCAUGAAUGGAGACGUUCGUUAUCUUAGGGAAGAAGGCAAAUCAACCUUCAUGAUAUCCGUGGAACUCGCGGCUGCAUACAAGGUGAAGCCCUAAGACAAAUUUCAACAGCAAAAGACACAGAUCCUCAAGUGUACAUACAGCCAGCCUAAAGGCGCGAGAGUUGAACGUUGUAUCUUUGACAUGCCUUGUAGUUUCAAAUAACAUCCUUUUUCCGUUGGACCACGGUUUAACCUGUAAAUGCGCAUGUCUGUCUCGUGUUCUUUAAGUGGUCUUUGGCUUGUGACGGAUUUUGCAGAACUUGAGAGCAAUGUGUGAAGAAUAAUUGAAAGAGAAAAUGGUGAAAGAUUUUGCAAUUUCUGCUGAGGAUAAAGUUUGUAAUUGUCCGUAAUUUAAUGUUUUUGGCUUUGUUUUAGCUUAAGUAAUAAAGGGACUUUGGUCACGGCUCAUCUUGGAUUCGAUGUCCGAAGCUGGUAAACAUCACGAUGGUGGCAUAAAAAAACUGAAAUGUUUUUGUGAGUCUUCCAAACCUCUAGAAAAGUGGAUUGUUGAGGUUUUAUCACUAGUUAAUCCCAGUUUUAAAGAAAAUAAAAUAAAAGACAUUGAUCGUUCAAAUGAUUAGAUUGUUUUUAUUGAUCUCAACAAGUGACAAUAUUUAAAUGGUGGAAAAAUUGGGAAAAUCUAGUAUUGAAGGAAACAAAUUUGCUUAAAUCCCAAGCAUGUAGCACUAUAGUCCACUCAUAAAGUAAGAAUUAAUUCCAUUUUAAACUUACAGAAGGCGUAAUCACAUUAGUUGAAAUAAAUGUGCUCUUCAUAUUUAAUCAUUCAUUUUAAAUAGAGUUAUCUAUGGCUUCACUUCUCCUUCGUCUAUUUUCACUCUUAUUUUCUCUUUAUUAAAAUGAAAAACGAGCAAAAAAAAAAAAAGUAUGGAAAAACAAAAAUAUGAGUGUAGAUAUCACCGCCUUCCUAAACCCUAAACCAUCUCUCAACAACCCACCCACUAUUAUAAUCUUUACCUUCACUCACAAUGCCAACAACAAAUAUUACCAGCUUCAGCAACAGUUUCAAUUAUGGAAAGCGAUUUCUGCAAAUCGCGUAAUGUCGAGCACGUGUUGUUGUUAGAGUUCACGUUCUUAAGUGUGAUAAUUUGCUCUGAUUCCUAAAAAAAGUUAAGUUUCCACCAUAAGACCAAUUGAUAAUAUAUAAAAUAACUUAGUUACUUCUAAGCACAUGUUAGGUUUGCCACAAUACGUACCAAAGGCUUCAACAUUCACCUACUCCCUUGCUAUAAAUACUCAUCCUACCAAUCAUUUCCUAUUCAUUCACACAUCCAAACUUUUCUCUUCCUCUUUGGCACUAACCUGCAUUUUCUUUCUAAUUAGCACCACCACCAAUGGCGGCUGUCAUUGCUCUCUCUUGUGGCUUUUGCCACCGUCUUAGGCAGCUCUGCCGCUGAUCCCGACAUGCUUCAGGACAUUUGCGUCCCCGACCUCACCGCCGGUAACUUCCUCUUCUUCUUCAUCAAUUCUUCAUCUAUAUUUCCAGUGUUUCAGUAUUCUAGUGCUAAAAGUGAACACAGGAAUUCAUGUCAAAAGAACAAAAGAAAAAGAAAAACAAAGCUAAAGUUGCCACUUUUCUUUGUCCCCUCAAUUCUUUCAAAUUACAAGUUAACCCUGUUCAUUAGCAACUUUUCAUGUUCUAAUGAUUUUAGGAGAGGAAAAUUAAUGAACAUGACUUGAAAACUUUGAGUAUUAACGAUAAGGACAAAAUAAAGGGUAAAAUGAAUAGUAUCAGAAUUGACUUUUUAGUGUAACAAUGUGAUUUUUUGUUAAAAUAAACAGUACCAGGAUCUUUUCGUUAAAGGAGAGAUUUGGAAUUUUCUUUAUUAUUUUCUGUAACUUGCUGUGUUAAUAUUCUUAGCUUUUCUUUUAUUUAUAAUUCUUUUGCUGGUUAUUCACUUUAUUGUGUUUAUGUCUGGUAAUCAUGUCCCUAAGGUACCGUUAGAUACGCAGACAAAAUGGAAUGGGAUGGAAUGAGACGAAACAUAAAGAGACGGAACGAAGAUUUCAUGCUAUGUUUGGUACGCGCAGGAUGGAAUGGGGCGGUUGUUCCAUUCUACGUUUGUUAAGCACAUGACGAAUGGAAUCAAAAGAUUAAAUAACUAACUUACCCUUAUUUUGUCUGUUAUAUGAUGCAAUGUUUAUGUGAUAUGCUUAUCUAUGAUAUAUUUUUUACUAAAAAUAUGACUUUAACCCUUCAAAUUCAAUUUUUUCCAUAUAAAACCCGACAUAAUUUUUUUACUCAAAAAAACCCAGUGACUAGGAUCCACCUAAGUGAAUUCAUUAAUUACAUAUUACUUUACACAUUUUACAAUUUUUAGAAGCCUAAAAUACCCCUAUUGCAUGUUUGAUGUGCACAAUUAAUCUAAGGAAAAUGAAUGAAAAUGACUUGAAAACUUUGAGUUUUAACGAUAAGGACAAAAUAAAGGAUAAAGUGAAUAGUACCAAUAUUAACUUUUUAGUGUAAAAAUAUGGUUUUUCAUUAAAAUGAACAGUACCGGGAGCUUUUCAUUAAAAUUCCCUUAAUUCUAUGCAGAUUGUAAGGAGAGAGUUAAUGAUUUUGCAAAAAGAAAAAUAAGACAUGAAUGUUAAAAAAUUCAUUGCAUAUUAAUAUCAAAUAUGAGAAUUGUUGGCUUAAUUCUACGUAUAUGGCAUUAUGAGUUCAUAUAUAUAUAUAUAUAUAUAUAUAUAUAUAUAUAUAUAUUUUACAAAAAAAAAACCUAAUAUAUGUAAUAAUACAUAAAAAAAAGUAAUUUACCUACCAUGUACAAAAAUGUUAUUUGAUUCAAAAUGUGUAUAAAUAUAUAUAUAUAUAUAUAUACACACACACACUGUAUGUGUGUGUGUGUGUAUUUAUAUAAUUAGACCAUAUUAAUUUACCUACCUACUAUUUGAAAUGUUCAUUUCCAAUUAUGUAAAAUAUUGUAUACCUACAACAAAAUAUUGCAUAAACUUAGGAAUUGGAUCAUGCUUUUGAUUUUAUCUUUUACCUACAAACAAUCAUAUACGUAUUACUUUAUAUAUUUUUACCAAAAAAUGUCCCUAAUAGGCUAAUAUAUGUAAUAAUACAUGAAAAAUAAUUUACCUACCUUGUAUACAAAAAUAUUAUUUGAUUCAAAAUAUAUAAUCUAGGUUUUCUCAAAAAAAAAAUAAAUAUAUAUAUAUAUAUAUCUAGGUGUAGUGUGUGUGUGUGUGUGUGUACUUUUUUUAAUAAUUAGAACAAAUUAAUUUACCUACCUACAAAUUAAUUUUCAAUAAUUUACCUACAAAAAAUUAUACCCCGUGUAAUAUAAUAUAUUUUUUUCACUAAUACAUGGAGAAUAAUUUUCCCAUAACAAGAAGAAAUAUAAUUUGAUGUAUUAUAUUGAAAAAUAUUAUGUCAUACCUAUAUUUAUACAACAAUAAAACGUGCCUAAUAUAUUCAACAAUACAUGAAAAAUAAUUUACCUACAAGUUAGAGAAGCGUUAUUUGAUUCAAAAUAUAUAAUACGGAUUUAGUAUAAUUUUUUUUAAUAAUUGGAACAAAUUAAUUUACUUCCCAAUUAAUGCAAAAUAUAUAUAUCACAAAAAGGUAAAGUUUUGGUAUGAUAUGGAUACAAAUAAUGCAAUACAACAUUUUAUAUAUUUUAUUUCACUUUUUCUACAACUUUUAAUUUGGAAUAAAUUUAGGGAUUUGGGAAAGUGGCAUGGGUGUAAAUAAAUUGUAUUGGUAGGUCAAUAGUGUUUCAAUGUGGCUACAGAUUUUAAAUUUGGGCUUUUAUUAGACGUUUAAAUGUAGAUGAGUUUUUAUGUAGGAAUCAUGAAUUAUAAGGGCCAAAAUCUAAAGCACCCUAUUUUUUACACUAGCGAAUAUCAAUACUUUUUUGUUGUUUUAUUAAUUCAUUUUAUUAAUUGUUUAUUAUUUACACACUUUUUUAUUCAACUCUGUCUCCCUCCCUUGUCUCUCUACUUUCUCUUCUUCCAUAUGCUUCUUGUUCUUCGCAUGCCCAGAUUGCUCCUAGUAAAAAUCAAACUUGGUAAAUCAAACCAAUACUUUCUCUUCAUUUCAUUUUCUUUCUCUUCAAUUCAAACCCAUAAUUCUCUUCUUUUAAUUUAUUUUUCUUCAAAUCAAACAUAGAAAAAUUCCAAAUUGUUUUUUUUUUCAAUUUACAGAGGCUUCGUCAAAUCUGCAAAUUCAUUUCAAUCAAUUUCUGCAACAUAGUCAUCGUCCUCCAUGUAGCGUUGUCGUCGUCGUCCUUCCUAGGCUUACAAUGACGGCCUGGCUAUGGUUACGACGUCGGAGAAGAAGGUGGAGCGCAGAGGGACUAAAUAGGCGGCGGUGGAGGAGCUUCGACAUCAUCAAUGAAGGCCUUGGCCUCCUCUUUGCGCUUUUUGUCGUCGGCGAAAGAUGCCUGACGAUGCUUGCUAUGUGAGUCCUGGGUGUCGCUGGCGACGCUCUUGUCGUGGGACUAGCAGGGAGGAAGGAGGAGGCGAGAGGAAGCUGGGUUUGCUGGGAUUGGGUUAGCCAUAGUUGGGUUGCUGGGUUUGUGGUGGAGGAGGAGGAGGCUACAAGAAAGAGGGAGGGUAGACGAGAGGGAGGCUAUGGGAAAGAGAAAGAGGGUGGACAAUGGAAUUAAUGAAAAAAAAUAGGGGUAUUGCUGUCCAAAAAAUUAUAAUUUUGUGUUCCAUGGGCUGGAAAAAGUCGCUUCAGGGGGAAGGUGAAACCAAAAAAAUGACUAAAAUUUGUUUCACGGGACAGCACGUCCUAGACAAUUUGGCGCACCAAACGUGAGACGAGUGUGUUCUGUCUCAUCCCACAUACUAAACGGUACCUAAUUGUCCCCAAUAUUUAAACACAUUCAGCCAUUAAACAUAUACUGGAAGUUGAUUAAGUAAACCCAAUUCAUGAUUUCUGGAAAAAAUUAAGAAAGUUCUAUGAUUUGAUUACCCGACUCUCUUAUAGCGAAGAGCCUUAAUGGCUUGGGGUCGCCCUUUGAUUAGCUUAACUUUCUCUCACUUUAUUAUUGUUGAGCCUACUAAUCAUGUUUCUGCAAGGAGGUUGUAGCUCGGUUGGUUUAAGACCAUCCUCACUUGCACCCGAGGUUCCGAGUAAUAAGAACCCUAAUUAGCCCCCCAACAAACAAGCACAUUGAUCCAGUAAUACACUAGAACCUGAUUAAAAAUAAACCCAAUUCAUGAUUCAUGAUUUCAGGAAAUUAAGUAUCAGUUUUAGUACAAUUUCUUGCUUAAUCCAAGUGAAUUGUGGUACAUAACACAGCGGUGAAAGUCAAUGGAUUCGUCUGCAAGGACGCAGCAAAUGCAACAGCAGAGGACUUUUUCUUCACCGGACUAGCCAAACCAGGCCUCACCAACAACACAUUCGGCUCCUUGGUGACUUUAGCCAAUGUCGAAAAAAUCCCCGGCCUCAACACCCUCGGCGUUUCGCUUGCCAGAAUCGACUAUGCCCCCGGCGGAAUUAACCCACCCCACACUCACCCCAGAGCCACAGAAAUUGUAUACGUUCUUGAAGGAGAAUUGGAUGUUGGGUUUAUUACCACAGCAAACAAGCUCAUCAGAAAAACUAUUCAGCAAGGUGAAGUCUUUGUGUUCCCCAAAGGGUUGGUUCACUUCCAAAACAACAAUGGGAAGAGCCCGGCUUCCAUGAUUGCCGCCUUCAACUCUCAGCUGCAGGGCAGAGUGAACAUCGCCCUCACAUUGUUCGCUGCCACGCCGGAGGUGCCGGAGAAUGUGCUGACCAAGACGUUCCAGGUGGGAACCAAGCAGGUUGACAAAAUCAAGUCUAAGCUAGCACCCAAGGCCUAGAGGGCCGCUUUUUCUUUGUGUUUUUAUAAUUUGAUGGACUGGGGUGAUGAUCAUUGUAUUUUCUCUUUGAUUAGUCCAAACUAGCAUUUGAGUCCGCACGAUGCUGCGGGUUGUAAAAUUAUGUUAUAUGUAUGAAAUAUAUUGAAAUCUAUUUACAUCCAUAGCAGAAUUUAAAAGUCAUCCAAAGUGUUUUUGGAGAUCACAAAAUAUAAAUGUUAGUGUAAAUGUAGAAAAUCUUAAAUGCAUUUGGGCACACAUACCCUAGAAUUCUAUAACCAAAAUAAUGUAAAGUAGCUCAACCAUAUUUUUCCAUGUACAUUAUGAACUGCUUAUUAUAAAAAAAAAAAAAAAAAAAAAACUGUAGCAACCUUUAUACAAUAAAUUCGUAACUUUGAUGUCUAAUAGAUAUUGAAUACUUACUAUGGAUUUCAUGUAUAAUUCGGUUGCUUGGAUUACAAGUUAACCAAUCAUCACGAGAUGCUGAUUUGAUAUUUUGGAUCAGGAUCACACACGCUGGUGGUGGGAUUCCAGAAGCAUUGCUGAACCAGAUGUUUGGAAAUGACGGAGACAUAUCCGUGGAACUCGCGGCUGCAUACAAGAUGAAGCCCUAAGACAAAUUUCAACGGCAAACGACACAGAUCCUCAAGUGUACAUACAGCCAGCCUAAAGGCGCGAGAGUUGAACGUUGCAUCUUUGACAUGCCUUGUAGUUUCAAAUAACAUCCUUUUUCCGUUGGACCAUUUGUAUCGGUUUAACCUGUAAAUGCGCAUGUCUGUCCCGUGUUCUUUAAGUGAUCUUUGGCUUGUGACGGAUUUUGCAGAACUUGAGAGCAAUGUGUGAAGAAUAAUUGAAAGAGAAAAUGGUGAAAGAUUUUGCAAUUUCUGCUGAGGAUGAAGUUUGUAAUUGUCCGUAAUUUGAUGUUUUUUGCUUUGUUUUAGCUUAAGUAAUAUAGGGACUUUGGUC
rnacentral:lncRNA from 1 species